rnacentral:rRNA from 1 species
UACGGAGGGCGCGAGCGUUAAUCGGAAUUACUGGGCGUAAAGCGUGCGUAGGCUGUUUGGUAAGUCAGGCGUGAAAGCCCUCGGCUCAACCGAGGAACUGCGUUUGAUACUGCCGGACUCGAGUCCCGGAGAGGGUGGCGGAAUUCCAGGUGUAGGAGUGAAAUCCGUAGAUAUCUGGAGGAACACCGGUGGCGAAGGCGGCCACCUGGACGGGUACUGACGCUGAGGCACGAAAGCGUGGGGAG